UGAGGAAUAUUGGUCAAUGGGGGGAACCCUGAACCAGCCAUCCCGCGUGCAGGAAGACAGUUCUAUGGAUUGUAAACUGCUUUUCUUGGGGAAGAAUAAUGACGACGUGUCGUCAGAUGACGGUACCCGAGGAAUAAGCAUCGGCUAACUCCGUGCCAGCAGCCGCGGUAAUACGGAGGAUGCAAGCGUUAUCCGGAUUUAUUAGGUUUAAAGGGUGUGUAGGCGGAUGUAUAAGUCAGUGGUGAAAGUCAGCAGCUUAACUGUAGAAUUGCCAUUGAUACUGUAUGUCUUGAGUGUGGUUGAGGUAUGCGGAAUGUGUAAUGUAGCGGUGAAAUGCAUAGAUAUUACACAGAACACCGAUUGCGAAGGCAGCAUGCUAAGCCACAACUGACGCUGAUGC
rnacentral:rRNA from 1 species